GCUGAAACACCCGUCCUCAUACGAUCACCAAAGUUAAGCAAACGUCGAGCCUGGUCAGUAGCUCGAUGGGUGUCUGCUAGGGAAUACGAGGUGCUGUAA